rnacentral:tRNA from 1 species
GCUUGGGUGGCUCAGUGGUUGAGCGUCUGCCUUCAGCUCAGGUCAUGAUCCUGGGGUCCUGGGAUCAAGUCCCACAUCAGGCU